rnacentral:rRNA from 1 species
AGCAGCCGCGGUAAUUCCAGCUCCAAUAGCGUAUAUUAAAGUUGUUGCAGUUAAAAAGCUCGUAGUUGAAUUUCGGGAUCAAUAUGUCGGUCGUGCCUUGGUACGUACUGGUAUCAUUGGUCUCUCCUUUCUGACGAACCAUGAUGUCAUUAAUUUGGUGUUAUGGGAAGUUAGGACUGUUACUUUGAAAAAAUUAGAGUGUUUAAAGCAGGCUUUAGCUUGAAUACAUUAGCAUGGAAUAAUGAAAUAGGACGUUCGAACCUAUUUUGUUGGUUUCUAGGAUCAACGUAAUGAUUAAUAGGGAUAGUUGGGGGCAUUAGUAUUCAAUUGUCAGAGGUGAAAUUCUUGGAUUUAUUGAAGACUAACUACUGCGAAAGCAUUUGCCAAGGAUGUUUUCAUUAAUCAAGAACGAAAGUUAGGGGAUCGAAGACGAUCAGAUACCGUCGUAGUCUUAACCAUAAACUAUGCCGACUAGGGAUCGGAUGAUGUUAAUUUUUA